CGCGAAAAACCCGGGAUCGAACCAGGGACCUUUAGAUCUUCAGUCUAACGCUCUGUCAUUUGAGCUAUUUCGGC